UGGCCGAUGGAGACUAUUUAGCCGCGCCCGCCGCCUCUCCCACGUGACCCUCCCGCGCGGGGUAUCUUGGGACUUGUAGUUUUCCGGAGGCAGCGGAGCCCGGAAAGCCAGAGGCUGGGGGCUGCCGAGACCUCAAUUCCAGUCACGGAGUGCGCCCUCUAGCGCCGGGCGGAAGACCCGGGAAGUGUUCAAGCGGCCGCAGAGCUGCCCAGAGUUCGCAGGUCUGGGGCUGUUUUCCCAGCGAGCUCGUAGGGGAGGACAGUCAAGGGACUCAAGCGUCCCUCUUGACUCGCCUUCUCUCGCCGUGCAGUGGCGGCGCCGAGGGGCCGACGCUCAGGGCUAAUCUCUAUCAGUCACCCUCGAGGCCCCGGGUAAUAUUGGGUGGGUCACAAGAACUCAUCUUGCAUGAUUUGGAAGCUGGAAGGAAAGAAGCACUUUUGUAGCUGACUCACCUCAAUGGCAUGAACAGCGUCUGAGCCUACAACUGCGCUACCUUCUCUGGAUUUUUCUUCACUUUUUCCUCACUCAUGAGCCAGGACCCGUUGUGUCCCUCAAGGAAAGAGAUGUCACAGUAAAGAUGAUCUGAGGUCCUGGGGAGAUCCUUUCUCUUCCUCCCCAUUACAAAAGCCACACAGGCGAAGCUAGUGUAACUGGGCAGAGCUGUGAGUCUUCAGAGGUAUUUUUAAAGGUGAACAUUCUCAACCAAAUGUUCUUUUUCUCCCCCUGAGUCCUGUCCUGCGGUAACCAAUGUUCAGAAAGCAAGAAUAGUGUCACCGUUUCUAUUUCUGACAGUCCCUAGGUUCCCUUGCACAAAGGAGAACAGCGGAGGAGUACAGGACUGUUCUUUAUUCUGAAGACCAACAAAAGCCAUGGUUUAAUGAGAUCAGCUGCGCCCAGAGGACAGUUUAAGAACCACCCUGGCUUCUCCCACUGCUCAGCUGAAUUCCAUCCGGGAGCAGCAGAGCGAGGCAACGCGCCCGUGGCUCUGUGAUCUGUUGAAUUAAAGAGACGAAGAGUCAUCCUUUCCCUGACUCAAAAGCCCAUGAAUUCAAAAGAAUAUAGAUGGGGUUUCUUCUGAGGUUAAAUUUAAAAAGCUGAAGGAUGGGGGAAGGGAAGGAGGAGGAAGAAGGCAGUUUACUCUUUGGGAACAGGAGAGGCAUGAGGGGUGCAGAACAGGGGAGCAGUCACCUACAGACUGGGCCUUCCAGCCUCGGUCCCUGCUGGGGCUUCUGACAUCUUCAGUCUGUGAGUAAGUGGACAUAUUUUAAAUCGAAACUGUUUAAUGAACCCAAAGGAAAAAAAAAAAACAUAACUUACAAUUAAAGGAUCUUACAAGAUGAAAACUA